CCCACUAUGCUUAGCUAUAAAAUAUUAACCCACAUCUAACCCGCCAGGGAAUUACGAGCCCAAGCUUAAAACCCAAAGGACUUGACGGUGCCCCACCCCCCUAGAGGAGCCUGUUCUAUAAUCGAUUUUCCACGAUUUACCUCACCGCCUCUCGAAUACCCAGUCUGUAUACCUCCGUCGUAAGCUUACCAUGUGAACGCAUACUCAGUGAGCCUAAUGAUUUUCCAUCAACACGUCAGGUCAAGGUGCAGCCCAUGGGGCGGAAAGAAAUGGGCUACAAUCUCUAUCUUAGAACAAACGAAAAACUGUGUGAAACACAGUUACUGAAGGCGGAUUUAGUAGUAAAAAGAAAAUAGAGAGUUCUUUUUAACUAGGCGCUGGGACGCGUACACACCGCCCGUCACCCUCUUCAAAUAAAAACCUACUUAACAUUGCACAAUAUAUAGAAGAGGCAAGUCGUAACAUGGUAAGUGUACUGGAAAGUGCACUUGGUAUAACAAAAUGUAGCUUAAUAAAAGUGUCCUGCUUACACCUAGAUUAUGUCCGUGAAACCCUGACCAUUUUGAGCCUAAACCACAGCCCUAUUAUUUACCCAUGAGGCACUUUACUCACAAAAAUAAAAUAAAACAUUCUUUAAACCAAGUAAAGGCGAUUAAAAAGUCAUUAGGAGCCCCAGAGCCAGUACCGCAAGGGAAAAAUGAAAUAAAAUGAAAUAAAUUAAAAGCACCACAAAGUAGAGACUCCCACUCGUACCUUUU
rnacentral:rRNA from 1 species